rnacentral:miRNA from 1 species
CAACAUCACUGUUCUCUUCCU